rnacentral:rRNA from 1 species
UACGGAGGGUGCAAGCGUUAUCCGGAUUCACUGGGUUUAAAGGGUGCGUAGGCGGGUUGGUAAGUCCGUGGUGAAAUCUCCAGCUUAACUUGGAAACUGCCUUUGAUACUAUCUAUCUUGAAUAUUGUGGAGGUAAGCGGAAUAUGUCAUGUAGCGGUGAAAUGCUUAGAUAUGACAUAGAACACCUAUUGCGAAGGCAGCUUACUACGCAUAUAUUGACGCUGAGGCACGAAAGCGUGGGGAUCAAACAGG